UACGUAGGGGGCAAGCGUUGUCCGGAAUUAUUGGGCGUAAAGAGCGUGUAGGCGGCCCGGUAAGUCCGUUGUGAAAGUCAAAGGCUCAACCUUUGGAACGCCGAUGGAUACUGCCGGGCUAGGAGUCCGGAAGAGGCGAGUGGAAUUCCUGGUGGUAGCGGUGGAAUGCGCAGAUAUCAGGAGGAACACCGGUGGCGAAGGCGGGACUCUGGGCCGGAACUGACGCUGAGGAGCGAAAGCGUGGGGAGCAAACAGG
rnacentral:rRNA from 1 species